AGGUCACAAGAUUGCGCCAACCCUUACAUGGUCCUUAAAAAAAAAACCUUCUGACACUGCAGUAGUGAAAAUGAAGCGCACGAUGGGCGGAAGCUAGGAAGACAAACAUAAAGAUGAAGUGCUUAAUUCAAGGUCACACAAUGUCGGGGAUGGACCUCCAGAUUUCCUUACUGACCUGCAUUAUCUUGUGGAUACCUGAGUGAAUUCCACACCACCCAUUUUAUAGAUGAAACCACUGAGACAUGGAGCAAUUGACUGAGUAGUCACUGCCCCACCCCUGCCUGGAGCCUCACACAUGACUCGCCUCCUCUCAGUGACCACAGGUGAGACGUGGUCUUGUAACACAGUGGUUAAGAAUGUGACUUUGGAGCCAGCCUGCUAGGGGCUGAAUUCUGACUCAGCCAUUUACUAACUGUGUGACCUUAGUCUGUCUAGUGACUGGUGUUGUCAUAAGAAGAGAGGGACACAGAGGGAAGAUGGCCACAUGAAGAUGGAGGCAGAGAUUGCAGUUAUGCUGCUGCAAACUAAGGAAUGGCUCUGGCCCUCCAAGGAUUGCUGAUAACCACCAGAAACUAGAAGAGACAAGGAAGGAUUCUUCCCUAGAGCCUUCAGAGGGAGCAUGGCCCUACUGACACCUGGAUUUCAAACUUGUAGCUUCCUAAACUGCAAGAGAAUAAAUUUCUGUUGUUUUAAGCCA
rnacentral:lncRNA from 1 species